CUCACCCCCUCACGCAAACCCUAACUUGGAUCCCCUCCUCUCCCCCGAUCCACUCCUGUCAGACACCUCUCCCCUCUCCCCCGAUCCACUCCCGUUGCCGCCGUCGCCCCAUGCCAGGCGGCGGAACGAAGAGACAGGCCCCGCCGUGGCUGGCUUGCUCGCCGGCGCGCGCGUGCGUGCUUCGAUGCACGGCGCUCCAUCCUGCCGAUUCCCCAUCGUCUCCCACUGCCGCCAACCACAUCUUCGCCUUUGUUCUCCCAUAGCACGCCGCCGAGCUUCCCGCUCCCCUCCUCGCAGCUCCACAACUGCCAGAUCUGCCGCUCUCCGACCCCUACGUCCUCGAGGUCGACUAGAUCCGCCCCUCCCGCUAUCUGAAGCUCGCCGCGACCCCUUGCUCGUGGCUAGGGUUUCGGCUGCGGUGCUGCGUCCAUCGACGGUGCGUCUCAGGCGGCACCUCUCCGUCGCCCACCCCGGGCUCCGCGCAAGUUCAUCCGCUCCGGUACCUCGAGGAGUUCGCGCGGCGGUUUGACCUCCUCGGGCUGGUCCAGUUUGGGGCGGAGGUGGUGAGCGUCCUCCGUGGCAGGGACGACGACGCUGGCUGGAGGGUGAGGCUCCCCUGUGCUUGGCACUUUGCCUAGCCGUGCGUGGCCGCCAUCACUGGCAAUUACUCGGUGAAAGGAACUGACGGGGGAGUGCUGCUGCCGGAGGAAGGCCAUCAGGAGGUGGCCGAUGUGGCGCAGUGGGCAGACCACCCCCUUUUUGUUAUCCUGUAACAACCAGAGCCACACAAAGGUCUGGGCAUUGCUGCUUGCUUUAGAGGACAUGCUCAUGCUGAAUUUAGUUUUUUUCCUUCUCAUUUCAAGUGCUUAUUCCAGAUGUGCUCUGCUCAAUCAUCACAUUUCUUGAUGCCAGAUACUAGUAGCUGUUGGCACAUUAUUCAGUUGCUAGUUGUCUGUCCCACUGGAUGCUGUGCGUCUUUUAGCAGCCCAGUACUCAUUUGUAGGAAGGGUGGCAUCACUUUGUUGGUUGUUCUUGAAGGUCAGUAAGACCAUGUAUUGAUUGAUCUUGUAUGCUGCCAUGGAUACUUUGCAAGUGGUGAUUUUCCAAGGUUGUUGUUACCAUGGAGGUCAACGGGCGUCACAAGCCUACAAGAGAGUAUGUCGACAGAGGGUGCAAUGGUGUAAAACCACACAAUAAUUUUGGCAAAGUUGAUCCCUGGACGGCGUGGGCGUACAGACCGCGGACCAUCUCGUUGUUGCUGAUGGGUAUCUGCUUUUUAAUGAGGUGUGUUUGCCGAUGACCAAAAUGUGCUGAUUGUGGCGUCCGCGUGGAUGCUUUACGGUUUGAUCCACGCCCGGUACAUCUUAACCACCAAGGGCUUGUCUCAGAUCUGUAGAAGUUGCCGCCACUGCUGCUGCUGCAGGUGGAACAGGAAGAAGCCAUCAUGGCUGCUGCACAUCUGAAGUGGUAUUAUGUGUUCUGGAAGAUGGAAGAGGGAUAAAACUUAUUUUUGUUGAACUAAUUUUUUUGUAUUCUAUUUUGUUUUAUGUAGCAUUUGAUAGUUUUGUAUAGGAACAAGUGAUAAUAUUUUGUAGGGCUUUAUGGCCUGUGAUGUAAACAUAUUUAGUGCUGAAAUAUGAAAUUAUUUGCAAAAUUUGUCGAAAAGGAG
rnacentral:rRNA from 1 species